GAUGAAGAACGUAGCGAAAUGCGAUAAGUAAUGUGAAUUGCAGAAUUCAGUGAAUCAUCGAAUCUUUGAACGCACAUUGCGCCUCUUGGCAUUCCGGUGAGCACACCUGUCCGAGCGCCGUCGCAGCACUGAGGCUUCUGCCUUGCGUUGGUGGUCGGCUCCCCUAGCCUUCCCUUUUUUUUUUUGAAAACAAAAAAAGAGACGUGGAGCGUGCGGGGGCCGCCGCCGAAACCCCGACGGCGCCGCACCGCGGCCGGCAAUCGCGCAAAGAGCGACAAAAGUCCGGUCGGCGGGACGGCCGCCUUGUACCCCUUAAAAAACACAAGCUUGGCCUCGGAUCAGGUGGGGAUACCCGCUGAACUUAAGCAUAUCAAUAAGCGGAGGA
rnacentral:misc_RNA from 1 species